GGGGCUCUGAGCCUGCAGCACUGAGGAAGGAUUUGGAAGAGGAAUGUGCUGCUGAGUGUUAUCAGUUCACUUUUCUCUUCCUGCUGGACUCGACAUUCCUUUGCCUGAGCACGCUGACACCUUCUUCUCCCCACCAUACCCCAUGCUGGGACACGCUUGACCUUGAGAGGACCCCCUAGGGAAUAGGCCUGUAACUCAUGAAGACAUUCUUUACAAGGUCAGCAGAGUGUGGCAUACAAAUGACUUCACUCAUCAUUGAAUUGCAGCCUUCCCUGGGGUGAAACACAGGAACUAUUUAACAGUGUGCACUACACUACACGACCACUCCGGACUGGAAGUAAAGAAUCUAUCCAGCUGUGACUGCAGAGGGAAUCUGAGUAGCAAGCUGAAAUGUCUUUUAUUUGUAAAUGAAGGUCCUCUGUCCAGCUUGGCUCCAGUGCAGAGUCUGACUUUCUGCUGUUAAGGAGGCAGGGCUCACCUAAGUUUGUACAGCUCAGCAGGAGAUUAGAGCCCUCAAUCCUUUUGGCUUCUGCUCCCUGGAUCUAUCCACUAGACUGCACAGCUUUUGUUUUGCUCCUAGAGCUGCCUUGUUUGUAAAGAAAAAGCUUCAAUGUGACUAAGACAGGGAAGCAUUUGUACAGCAGUAAGUAAAUGCAGUUUGGUUGAACAUGU